rnacentral:rRNA from 1 species
UCGGGAAUCUUGGGCAAUGGGCGCAAGCCUGACCCAGCGACGCCGCGUGGAGGACGAAGCCCUUCGGGGUGUAAACUCCUUUAAGCAGGGACGAACGCAGACGGUACCUGCAGAAUAAGCCCCGGCUAACUACGUGCCAGCAGCCGCGGUAAUACGUAGGGGGCGAGCGUUGCCCGAAUUUACUGGGCGUAAAGCGCACGUAGGCGGCUCCGUAAGUCUGGUGUGAAAUCUCCCGGCUCAACCGGGAGGCUGCACUGGAUACUGCGGAGCUCGAGGGCGGGAGAGGAGAUUGGAAUUCCCGGUGUAGCGGUGAAAUGCAUUGAUAUCGGGAGGAACACCAGUGGCGAAGGCGGAUCUCUGGCCCGCUUCUGACGCUGAGGUGCGAAAGCUGGGGGAGCGAAAGGGAUUAGAUACCCCUGUAGUCCCAGCCCUAAACGAUGGGCGCUAGAUGUCGGGGAACACUCCUCGGUGUCGUAGCUAACGCAUUAAGCGCCCCGCCUGGGGAGUACGGCCGCAAGAUUG